rnacentral:rRNA from 1 species
CAGCAGCCGCGGGAAUACGGAGGGUGCAAGCGUUAAUCGGAAUUACUGGGCGUAAAGCGCACGCAGGCGGUCUGUCAAGUCAGAUGUGAAAUCCCCGGGCUUAACCUGGGAACUGCAUUUGAAACUGGCAGGCUAGAGUCUUGUAGAGGGGGGUAGAAUUCCAGGUGUAGCGGUGAAAUGCGUAGAGAUCUGGAGGAAUACCGGUGGCGAAGGCGGCCCCCUGGACAAAGACUGACGCUCAGGUGCGAAAGCGUGGGGAGCAAACAGGAUUAGAUACCCCUGUAGUCCCUGUCCUUAUACA